AGCUUUAUAUUCAAAAUAAUGAUAUAAAAUUGCAAAUUUUAAGGUGUAUAAAAUACUAAGGCUU
rnacentral:tRNA from 1 species